AGUCGUAACAAGGUCUCCGUAGGUGAACCUGCGGAGGGAUCAUUACACAAAUAUGAAGGCGGGCUGGAACCUCUCGGGGUUACAGCCUUGCUGAAUUAUUCACCCUUGUCUUUUGCGUACUUCUUGUUUCCUUGGUGGGUUCGCCCACCACUAGGACAAACAUAAACCUUUUGUAAUUGCAAUCAGCGUCAGUAACAAAUUAAUAAUUACAACUUUCAACAACGGAUCUCUUGGUUCUGGCAUCGAUGAAGAACGCAGCGAAAUGCGAUAAGUAGUGUGAAUUGCAGAAUUCAGUGAAUCAUCGAAUCUUUGAACGCACAUUGCGCCCUUUGGUAUUCCAAAGGGCAUGCCUGUUCGAGCGUCAUUUGUACCCUCAAGCUUUGCUUGGUGUUGGGCGUCUUGUCUCUAGCUUUGCUGGAGACUCGCCUUAAAGUAAUUGGCAGCCGGCCUACUGGUUUCGGAGCGCAGCACAAGUCGCACUCUCUAUCAGCAAAGGUCUAGCAUCCAUUAAGCCUUUUUUUUCAACUUUUGACCUCGGAUCAGGUAGGGAUACCCGCUGAACUUAAGCAUAUCAAUGGAAGUAAAAGUCG
rnacentral:rRNA from 1 species